GAUGAAGAACGCAGCGAAAUGCGAUAAGUAAUGUGAAUUGCAGAAUUCAGUGAAUCAUCGAGUCUUUGAACGCUCAUUGCGCCCCCUGGUAUUCCGGGGGGCAUGCCUGUCCGAGCGUCAUUGCUGCCCUCAAGCACGGCUUGUGCGUUGGGCCCCGCCCCCCGGCUCCCGGGGGGCGGGCCCGAAAGGCAGCGGCGGCACCGCGUCCGGUCCUCGAGCGUAUGGGGCUUCGUCACCCGCUCCGUAGGCCCGGCCGGCGCCCGCCGGCGACCCCCCUCAAUCUUUUCAGGUUGACCUCGGAUCAGGUAGGGAUACCCGCUGAACUUAAGCAUAUCAAUAAGCGGAGGA
rnacentral:misc_RNA from 1 species